rnacentral:rRNA from 1 species
AUGACGCUGGCGGCAGGCCUACACAUGCAAGUCGAGCGGAUGAAGGGAGCUUGCUCCUGGAUUCAGCGGCGGACGGGUGAGUAAUGCCUAGGAAUCUGCCUGGUAGUGGGGGAUAACGUCCGGAAACGGGCGCUAAUACCGCAUACGUCCUGAGGGAGAAAGUGGGGGAUCUUCGGACCUCACGCUAUCAGAUGAGCCUAGGUCGGAUUAGCUAGUUGGUGGGGUAAAGGCCUACCAAGGCGACGAUCCGUAACUGGUCUGAGAGGAUGAUCAGUCACACUGGAACUGAGACACGGUCCAGACUCCUACGGGAGGCAGCAGUGGGGAAUAUUGGACAAUGGGCGAAAGCCUGAUCCAGCCAUGCCGCGUGUGUGAAGAAGGUCUUCGGAUUGUAAAGCACUUUAAGUUGGGAGGAAGGGCAGUAAGUUAAUACCUUGCUGUUUUGACGUUACCAACAGAAUAAGCACCGGCUAACUUCGUGCCAGCCCGCCGCGGUA